rnacentral:rRNA from 1 species
GAUGAACGCUGGCGGCGUGCCUAAUACAUGCAAGUCGAGCGAACAGACGAGGAGCUUGCUCCUCUGACGUUAGCGGCGGACGGGUGAGUAACACGUGGAUAACCUACCUAUAAGACUGGGAUAACUUCGGGAAACCGGAGCUAAUACCGGAUAAUAUAUUGAACCGCAUGGUUCAAUAGUGAAAGACGGUUUUGCUGUCACUUAUAGAUGGAUCCGCGCCGCAUUAGCUAGUUGGUAAGGUAACGGCUUACCAAGGCGACGAUGCGUAGCCGACCUGAGAGGGUGAUAGGCCACACGGGAACUGAGACACGGUCCAGACGCCUAAGGGAGGCAGCAGAAGGGAAUCUGCCGCAAUGGGCGAAAGCCUGACGGAGCAACGCCGCGUGAGUGAUGAAGGUCUUCGGAUCGUAAAAAUCUGUUAUUAGGGAAGAACAAAUGUGUAAGUAACUAUGCACGUCUUGACGGUACCUAAUCAGAAAGCCACGGCUAACUACGUG